GAUGAACUCUGGCGGCGUGCCUAAUACAUGCAAGUCGAGCGAACGGACGAGAAGCUUGCUUCUCUGAUGUUAGCGGCGGACGGGUGAGUAACACGUGGAUAACCUACCUAUAAGACUGGGAUAACUUCGGGAAACCGGAGCUAAUACCGGAUAAUAUUUUGAACCGCAUGGUUCAAAAGUGAAAGACGGUCUUGCUGUCACUUAUAGAUGGAUCCGCGCUGCAUUAGCUAGUUGGUAAGGUAACGGCUUACCAAGGCAACGAUGCAUAGCCGACCUGAGAGGGUGAUCAGCCACACUGGAACUGAGACACGGUCCAGACUCCUACGGGAGGCAGCAGUAGGGAAUCUUCCGCAAUGGGCGAAAGCCUGACGGAGCAACGCCGCGUGAGUGAUGAAGGUCUUCGGAUCGUAAAACUCUGUUAUUAGGGAAGAACAUAUGUGUAAGUAACUGUGCACAUUUUGACGGUACCUAAUCAGAAAGCCACGGCUAACUACGUG
rnacentral:rRNA from 1 species